AUGAGUUCUCUGUUUUUAAAAUUAAAGAUUGUAACUUGGAGGCUAAUUUGCUACUACUCUGUUUCAGGAUUCUUCAAAUACACAGGAGAGAGAUACAAGGCCACUCUGUGUGUUUACAUAACAUGUUUCUUUCCUGAAAAUGUUUUGUUUUCUCUUCUCAGAGUGUUAAUAGGGAUUGGGCCCUUAAAAGAAGGCUGUACACCAAGAAGACCCAAACAGAAUAGAGCCAGCCCAAUAUAUGUACAGAGCUUGAGAUAA
rnacentral:lncRNA from 1 species